rnacentral:rRNA from 1 species
UACGAAGGGUGCAAGCGUUACUCGGAAUUACUGGGCGUAAAGCGUGCGUAGGUGGUGAGUUAAGUCUGAUGUGAAAUCCCCGGGCUCAACCUGGGAAUGGCAUUGGAUACUGGCUCGCUGGAGUGCGGUAGAGGGUGGUGGAAUUCCCGGUGUAGCAGUGAAAUGCGUAGAUAUCGGAAGGAACAUCAGUGGCGAAAGCGACUUCCUGGACCAGUACCGACGUUCAGGCACGAAAGCGUGGGGAGCAAACAGG